rnacentral:rRNA from 1 species
CUACGGGCGGCUCCAGUGAGGAAUAUUGCACAAUGGGGGGAACCCUGAUGCAGCAACGCCGCGUGGAGGAUGACGCAUUUCGGUGUGUAAACUCCUUUUAUAUGUCAAGAAAAUGACGGUAGCAUAUGAAUAAGCACCGGCUAACUCCGUGCCAGCAGCCGCGGUAAUACGGAGGGUGCAAGCGUUACUCGUGAAUCACUGGGCGUAAAGGACGCGUAGGCGGGUUGGAAAGUCAGGUGUGAAAUCCUACAGCUUAACUGUAGAACUGCACUUGAAACUUCUAAUCUAGAGUAUGGGAGGGGGAGAUGGAAUUAGUGGUGUAGGGGUAAAAUCCGUAGAUAUCACUAGGAAUACCUAAAGCGAAGGCGAUCUCCUGGAACAUUACUGACGCUAAGGCGUGAAAGCGUGGGGAGCAAACAGGAUUAGAUACCCCUGUAGUC